rnacentral:snoRNA from 1 species
AUCCCAUGAUGAGGAUGUUCCCAUGCUUCAGGAAUGGACUCGUCUCUCGUCUGCUGGAAAUUGGAAAUCCUUCCACGAAGGGC